CCUGUUUGCUUGCAAUGACUAACUAUAAAAGCGUAAAACGGUUUUAAGGUUUAAAAAAGGAGAAUCAGAGUUCUCACUAUUUUUUAGGUUUCUGUUUCUGUUUUUGGCGGUGAUUGCUCUGUCUGGAAGAUGCUACAGCUGCAGCAGAUGCCUCAAGUGUUGGGAGCCCAGGAAUAACAUACUCAUUCUUGGGCUUUUGUUGUACAUUAACAACAGUUGGGACAUUAUUGGAAUCUCUAGCAGCUCUCAUCCUCUCAGCGAAUCCACUACUUGCCCAUUUUGGUCUGUAGAUUUGUUUUUCUGGCUGAGGUUUUGAGUUAAAUUCCCUUCCAGGAGAAACUGAUCUAUAUUUCACUGAGCGUCUAUAAUCAGCAGUCUUUGGAGACCAAUAAGCUGAGUAAAGUGUGUCGAAGUUGACUCUUUUAAGCAAAUCACCAUUAUAUCUAAAGAUCCGAAUCGCAUUAUCUACUCUAAGUCUGGGAGAGGUAGUAGAAGCCAGUAGAAACCUUCCACAAACUGACCAUUCAAGAGUAAUACAACAAGAAGCAUUAGUUUGGCCAAUAAGCUUCUGUUUAUCAAGAUCCCAAAUAUCUAGAUCUCCUGCAAGGUUUCCAAACCCUCCAUAUGCAAACCAUUUUCCUGAAGGGUUCCAUCUAAUUGUAUUUCUUCUGGAUUUCCCAAAGCUAACUUUAGGAGAGCCAUCAAUCCCACUAUUCAAAGUCAGCUCUGGAGGAAUAAUUCCCUUACAUAAGAGAAAUUCAUUGGAUUUUGGAGACCAAGCAACAUCAUUCACAGGACCUUCUUCUGGUGGAACAACCACUUGAUGUCUUAGACUCAGCUUCUCUGAGGGUUUAAAACCAUCGCUUCCAUUUUUAUUUCCAUUUUCAAGAUCAUUAUUUCCUCCUUUAUUUCCUUUCCAAGCACUAUUUGCCACAACAGUCUUAGAGUUUUGAAUUCGAAGUAGAUGCAGACUUGAAGAUCCAAAAUAAGAUUUUCCCAAAGUUUCACCUUCAAUUUGAGCAAACACUAAAAUACUAUCCCCUGAGUUAUUCCAAGAAACUUGACAUGUUUGAGCUUCUUUUACACAAACUUGUCCAAUUGAGCUAAGCUGGAUCUCUUUUUUGCUGUCCAUCUCUGCAUGGUAUACAUAUACAUCCAUAUUUUGUGCAGAUUGGGGAGUUACUACUGUAAAGUUCAAGCUACUCAAUUUAGAUCCUUCUUCUCCUAAAUCACUUCCUCCAUCAAUCUCGUUAGAAACUGAAAGUUGUAUACUUUUUGAGAAAUUUAAAGUUCCUAUAGGAUUUUCCAGGCUUUCAGUAUCGCUUUUAAAUAUUGAUACACUGGUAUCUUGGACUUUAAAUACAAAGAUCUCAUUAUUACUCCAUCUAUAUGGAGGCCAAGUACUAAGAACUUUUGCACUGUUUGUUUUAAAAGGAAAAGAAAACAGUAAUUUUACAUUUUCCUUCAGUUUGUAAACUUGUAGGUUAUUUUCAUUCUUUCCUUGUUCAAAUACUGUUAAAACCAAUAAAUAACUUCCUAAUGGUGAAUAUUGCAACUUUCUAACUGGGAAAUCAUUCUCUAUCUUAAGCUCCUUAUUAACUUCACCUUCUCCUUUUGUUAUUAAAAUCACAGAAUUCUUUGAAUCCUUUGGUACAAAACAGUAUCCUCUUCCUUGGGGUUCUUGGGC
rnacentral:antisense_RNA from 1 species